rnacentral:rRNA from 1 species
UUGAUCAUGGCUCAGAAUCAACGCUGGCGGCGUGCCUCAGACAUGCAAGUCGAACGAUUAAAGCUCCCUUCGGGGAGUGCAUAAAGUGGCGCACGGGUGAGUAACACGUAAGUAAUCUACCCUCGGGUGGGGAAUAACGUUCGGAAACGAACGCUAAUACCGCAUAAUGCAGCGGCACCGCAAGGUGACAGUUGUUAAAGAUUUAUUGCCUGGGGAGGAGCUUGCGGCAGAUUAGCUUGUUGGUAAGGUAACGGCUUACCAAGGCUACGAUCUGUAUCCGGUCUAAGAGGACGGUCGGACACACUGACACUGAAUAACGGGUCAGACUCCUACGGGAGGCAGCAGUCGGGAAUUUUGGGCAAUGGGGGAAACCCUGACCCAGCAACGCCGCGUGAAGGAUGAAGUAUUUCGGUAUGUAAACUUCGAAAGAAUAGGAAGAAUUAAUGACGGUACUAUUUAUAAGGUCCGGCUAACUACGUGCCAGCAGCCGCGGUAAUACGUAGGGACCAAGCGUUGUUCGGAUUUACUGGGCGUAAAGGGCGCGUAGGCGGCGCGGUAAGUCACUUGUGAAAUCUCUGAGCUUAACUCAGAACGGCCAAGUGAUACUGCAGUGCUAGAGUAGUGGAAGGGGCAAUCGGAAUUCUUGGUGUAGCGGUGAAAUGCGUAGAUAUCAAGAGGAACACCUGAGGUGAAGACGGGUUGCUGGGCCAACACUGACGCUGAGGCGCGAAAAGCC